UUUAGGGAGACCUACACCCCUCAGAACUCGAAAACACACAGUGAAUAGAGGCUGAGUUGGUUAUUCCUAGGUCGGUCGAGAUUGGUAAAAGCUUUCAAAAUAUUUUGGGUUCAGUUUAUAUAAGUUAAAGCUUAAUUAGUUGAUUAAUUGGAUAAAAGUUCAGCAAUAUGGUGAAGAACCAGACUGCUGGGUAAAAGUCCAGCCAGAACCUUGAAAACUGCAUAGUAACGCGAAAAAAGCAGGCAGACACAGACAUUCAAGUAAUGAAAGUGUUUGCAAGUGGAAAACCAAUGUAAUUGU
rnacentral:misc_RNA from 1 species